UGCAAAGAUUUGACAAAUAUUUUACAGCAAUGUGUCUUUCCUGGUAGUUGCAAAGGAGACUUUAACAAAGGGUAAAGAAAGGCAUAUUUGGCUGUGACAGUCACCUUAAAUUUUCUUUUGCUGAUAUUAGCCUUCCAGAGUAGCUUCAGUUUGCAGAUCAAAAUCAUAAAAUUAACUCUUUCCUGUUUUCUUUAAACUAAGGAAUAGCUGUCUUUAUUUUUCAUCCUGAUGAGCCAUUGCAGGAGACAUUGUUUAGAGGCUCAAGGGAAGGUCCAGUGUGGCCUUAGCCAGAAAGCUGCAGUUAAACUACUUCUGUUAGUUCCAUGUGAUAUCAAGUUUAGUGCUAAAAAGACCACUUAUUAGUGGUACAAAAACUUAAGAUACUAAAAGGUACCUGAGAUACUAAAAGUUACCUAAGAUACUAAAAGGUGCCUAAGAUAUUAAACCAGAUUUCUAAGCCUUACUUGACGGUUUUCCAAUAUCAAGAAAUGUUGCUUUCUCGGGAUACUCUUGUUUCAAUGUAGACGCAAUUACCAAAGUCUUCACCUGAUGUGUCGGUGUUUAUGUGCAUUCAUUAUUUAUUUUUUUACUAUCCAGAAGCAUUGCAGGUCCCUGCCUAGUUACAAAACACUGUUUUGCAAUAUGCAAAGGAUGAAAAUAUGUUUUCCUUUUUCCCCCUUCCAGAAAUCCUGGGCAUAAAAAAAAGAAGCAAUUGAGAUGACUGAGGAAGGGAAAAGGUUGCCUUAUUAGCCAGGUUUUGAAAUUAAAUGAAGAGGAGGUAGAAAGGUGCAGCUUCUCUUGCUACUCUGUACUAGCCAACCACUUGGCUAGGAAAACGCUUAGCAACCUUUUUUCCCUAUGCUCUGUCUUUUCAGCACCAGGAAGCAAAAUAAGUUUAACCAUCAUAAGUAUUUGGAGUGUGACUCCUGUGCUUGAGAAAAGAAUAUCAAGAUGUUACCAGGGAAAUGGGAAAUAAAAAGAGGAACAGCUAUGUUGAAGUCUAUGAGGUUUUGUUAUUUCCUGUCCCUCGAUUCAUGCAUGGAGACUAUAAAAAGCAGCAUUUUGUACGUGACUAUUUGUAACAACCUGUUUGUUGUAUAGUAUGUUGCAAUGGUAUGGUGCAUGAGUAAGUCUAAAUGCAUUUCUUAGUAUGUCUUACAUGCUCAAUUUUGUCUCGUUUGCUUUUUUUCCC